rnacentral:rRNA from 1 species
GACGAACGCUGGCGGCGUGCUUAACACAUGCAAGUCGAACGGUGAAGGGAUCAGCUUGCUGGUUCUGGAUGAGUGGCGAACGGGUGAGUAACACGUGAGUAACCUGCCCCCUUCUUCUGGAUAACCGCAUGAAAGUGUGGCUAAUACGGGAUAUUCUGCGCCUGCUGCAUGGUGGGUGUGGGAAAGAUAUUGUUUCGGUGGGGGAUGGGCUCGCGGCCUAUCAGCUUGUUGGUGGGGUGAUGGCCUACCAAGGCGGUGACGGGUAGCCGGCCUGAGAGGGGGGCCGGUCACACUGGGACUGAGCCACGGCCCAGACUCCUACGGGAGGCAGCAGUGGGGAAUAUUGCACAAUGGGCGCAAGCCUGAUGCAGCGACGCCGCGUGAGGGAUGGAGGCCUUCGGGUUGUGAACCUCUUUCGCCAGUGAAGCAGGCCUGUCCCUUGUGGGUGGGUUGACGGUAGCUGGAUAAGAAGCGCCGGCUAACUACGUG